UAUAAACCCAGCACAUUGUAAAAGUGGAGUAUAUACGAUCUUCCCGCCAGGACUUAAACCAUUUGACGUCUACUGUAAACUGACCAAUCAAGGGAAAGCUUGGACAGAGAUUUCUUAUCUGGUCAUAAUGGCAUUCUUUUCUCGAUUACCGACCAGGACAAUGAUAACCAUCAUAUCAACUGUGCGAAUUCUUACAAUGGAGGAUACUGGUAUAAAAAGUGUUAUCAACCAAAUCUAAACAGAGCAAAUCUAAAGGAAUGGUAUGGCCUUGUUGGAGAGGAUACAGCUAUUCGUUAAAAUCAACAGCGUUAAUGAUACGUAGAACAUAUAUAAAACGUUACUUGAUAUAUUAAAUUAUACACGUGUU